CAGCAGCCGCGGUAAUACGGAGGGUGCAAGCGUUGUCCGGAAUUAUUGGGUGUAAAGGGUGUGUAGGCGGGAUUGUAAGUCAGGGGUGAAAGCCUACGGCUCAACCGUAGAAUUGCCUUUGAUACUGCAGUCCUUGAGUCCCGGAGAGGCCACUAGAAUUCGUGGUGUAGCGGUGAAAUGCGUAGAUAUCACGAGGAAUACCAGAAGCGUAGGCGGGUGGCUGGACGGGUACUGACGCUGAGGCACGAAAGCGUGGGGAGCAAACAGGAUUAGAUACCCUGGUAGUCCACGCUGUAAACGAUGGAUGCUCGGUGUUGCCCUGUCAUGGGGCAGUGCCCAAGCUAACGCGUUAAGCAUCCCACCUGGGGAGUACGCUCGCAAGAGUGAAACUCAAAGGAAUUGACGG
rnacentral:rRNA from 1 species